rnacentral:RNase_P_RNA from 2 species
GGAGUUGACUAGACAGUCGCUGCUUUAUUAUUGCCAUUUAUAAUGGUAAAAGGUAGAGGGGAGGAAAGUCCGGGCUCCAUAGGGCAGGGUGCCAGGUAAUACAUGGGGGGUGUAAACCUACGACAAGUGCAACAGAAAACAAACCACCGAUGGCCUGUAUAUGCAGGAUCAGGUAAGGGUGAAAUGGUGCGGUAAGAGCGCACCGCACAACUGGUAACAGUUAGUGGCACGGUAAACUCCACCUGGAGCAAAGCUAAAUAGAGAUUCGCAUGGUACGGCCCGUACUGAAUCUGGGUAGGCUGCUUGAGUCAGUGCGUGAGCAUUGACCUAGAUGAAUGACUGUCCACGACAGAACCCGGCUUAACGGUCAACUCCAUUC